rnacentral:lncRNA from 1 species
UGUAACACCCUAAUCUAAAUAAAGUGUUAAAUAUGAAUUUAAAUAAUUUUUGACAGCGAAAAUAUCAUAAAAUAAAGAUUUGGAUUUAUUUUCAAAUAAAUAAAUUUUUAAAUAAAAUAUUUGAAAUAACUUAAAAAGAAGGCCAGCCAUGAUAGGAAGCUAAUAUGAUAACACUAAACUCGAUAAGUUACACCAAAAUCUCAAGAGUAGUUUGAGACUUCGAAAACUGUACAAAGCAAAAGGUUAGGUGUAACUACAACAUUAUAUUUUUCCAAAAAAUAUUUACUUGACGCGCUCAUUCGAUCCUCUACGCGUCUCCAACCUUAGUUACCUGAAAAUGUUAAAUAUGGGAUGAGCAUAUGAAAUAUACUCAGUGUGGGAACAUGCAAUAAUUGUCCACGUUAAUAAAAUGGUCAACACAUAAGCACUGCACUGUAAUACUGAUAACUGAAAUUCGCACGGUGGCAUACCAAGGACUUUAAAGUCCUGGACCCCAUUGAGCGGGCCCCUGGCCGAAUAGGUUGCACCUAACUGUAACAUGAAAUCGCAUUGUGGCAUACCAAGGACGGUGAAGUCCUGGACCCAUUGAGCGGCCCCUAGCGAUAUAACUGAAUUUAAACACAUAUGGCAAACACAUAAUAUUAAAAAUGGACAAAAUUAACCACCAUGUACUGAAAUAAAUCCACCCUGAAUUGAACUGAAAUAACUUGAUAGUAAUGAAAGUUCACGUUCCUAGUCGGCCGCACCUAGCUCUAAAUUCAAAUAGUAACAUAAGGGCCUAAUUGAACUUUACAAAAUACCUUAAUAUAACUAAACUUGAGAAAACUAUUUAUAAAAGUCUUUCAAUAAAAUUUGAACUGAAAAAAAAUGAUAAUUAAAUAAAUUAUAAUUGCUACUUAGAAGAGUAAUUAAAAUAAAAACCCAAUUGAUUAUUAUAAUUAAGGCCCAACCACUUAAUAAACUGAGCCCAAUUAAUUAAAACUAACCUAAGCCCAAGCCCCAAGCCCACUAUCAACCUCUAAUUUAAACUCACACCCAACUCCACUCCACACAUUCACACGCAGCUCACUCCCUCUCUCCCUUCCUCCCUCGGCCUUCUUCCUCUCGGCCUCUUGCCGCCGCACCUCCGGACGGCAGCGCCGUCAGCGCAGACCGGCGGCUCCGCCGCCUCUCCCUCUUCUUCCUAUCUCCCUCUUCCCUCACUCUCACUCCCUCUGUCCCUCUCCUCACCGCGUCUCCCCCUUCUCCGGCGACCCUCGCCGUCUGCCAGCACCUCCUCCUGGCCGUCAGCAGCGGCACCCUUGUCGCCGCCGUGUCGACAGCACAAGCCGGUCAGGCCGCCUUCUCCCUCUUCCUGAAAAGAGACGCACAGCCGAGACCAUAGCGCCGCCGCCCUGCUCCUUCCGCCACCACCCCCUGCUUCCUUCCGCCGGCCGCCAUGGCGCGCAGCGCCGGCGGUACUGCUGCUCAACCACCCCUCCCCCUGUUCUAAGCCACAACCCCUUUCCAGUUCAUUCUUUCUAUUUUCCUUUUCUUCUUGUAAGCAGUGAUAUGCAUGUUUGAAUUAGAAAAAAAUAAGAACUUUUGUGGGUGUUUGGUUUUGUGCAGAGAUGAACAACAGUAAAUGAAAUAACUUUGUAAAAUCAAUUAAAAUUUACCAGCUUGGAUUCUGUAAUGAGAGAUGGAAAUGGGUUUGUAUGCUGUAGGCGAAACAGACGAGGAAAAGGCGAAUUGGGGACGAUGAUUUGAGGUUUAAAUAGAGCUGCAAGAUUAAGUUUUUACCACAAAAAUGAAACGUGAGCUGCUUGUUCACGUAAGAAAAUUUGUGGAUGAUAAAGGAACCAAAAUUGUGGUUGAGAAAACUGGACGUGCUCCCCAAGCUGAAAAUGGAAAUGAGUGGGCUCUUAAUGUUGAAAGUAAAUUUUGAGAUAAGGCCCAAUAGAGAAAUUUGUAAUAUUCAAUUAUGGCCCAACUUUGAGCAUAAAAAUUUCAUUUGUUAAGUUAAUAAUCUGCAAUCUAAAAUUAUUUAUCUAACUAGGGGCGCGACUAUAUAAUUCACGAACUUGCUAUAUAAAUAUUCUUUUCAUGAUUUAAAAAUUAGUUAAAAUAUAAAUAAUGAAAUCAAACAAAUAUCCAGAUAAUCAAAUAAUUAAAUGGGUUUCGGGCUGUCACAACCCUACCCACUAAAAGAAAAUUUCGUCCUCGAAAUUUAACUUACUUGGUUCUAAGUGGGGAUAGCGAGCUAGGAUUUCUUCUUCACGUUCCCAAGUUGCUUCAUCAGGUCCGUGCCUAGUCCAUUGAAUUUUUACUAAGGGUAUUUCUUUACCCCGCAAAACCUUUACCUUCCGAUCCAGUAUGACAUUCGGCUCCUCUUCGUACGUGAGGUCCUUAUUGAUUUGGAGUUCUUCAUGAUGAAUGAUGUGACUAGGAUCGUGCAGAUAUUUUCGCAGCAUGGAGACGUGAAACACGUUAUGUACAGCCGACAAUUCUGGCGUUAAAGCUAAACGAUAGGCUACAUCUCCUAUGCGCUCUAGGAUUUCAAAAGGUCCAAUGAAUCGAGGUCUCAACUUUCCUUUCUUGCCGAAUCGUAGGACUCCUUUCAUUGGUGCCACUUUGAGAAACACCUUUUCGCCCACCUCAAAAUGUAACUCUUUUCGCCUGCGAUCAGCAUAUGAUUUCUGUCGAUCCUGAGCCAUUUUAAUCUUCUCUUUUAUUUUCCCGAUGACCUCAACCGUUCUCUCAACGAUUUCCGGGCCCAACACUUUUCGUUCACCAACUUCGUCCCAAUAUAGUGGCGAUCUACACUUUCUCCCAUAUAACGCUUCGUAUGGAGGCAUGCCAAGGGUCGUUUGAAAACUGUUGUUAUAUGCGAAUUCGAUCAAGGGCAGGUGAGUUUCCCAAUUGCCUCCAAUAUCCAUGACACUAGUUCGCAGCAUGUCUUCUAGAAUUUGAAUAGUUCUUUCAGAUUGUCCAUCUGUUUGAGGAUGAUAUGCUGUUGAAAAGUUGAGCUUCGUUCCCAUGGCUGCAUGUAAACUUUUCCAAAACCUGGACGUGAAUCUUGGAUCUCGAUCAGAAACAAUGGAUACUGGCACUCCAUGUAGUCUCACCACUUCUUGAACAUACAAUCUCGCCAAUUGGUNUCAAUAAUUCUCAUCGCGGUUUUACUCACGCGAAGCUAACUGGCUUAGUAAUAAAAUAAUAACCCUGCUUCAAUUAGAAUAUAAUCCAGUGUCAUAAGCUGAAUUUAAAUCAUAAAUAAUUACUGGACUUGAUUUACUGAAAGAUGAAAUAAUAAUUAUCGUAUUACUGGAUUUAAAUAUAAUAAAAGAGCGGGCUACUACAGUCGAUGAAAACUAUGACGAACUUGUCCAAAUAUGAGUGAAAAACACGAUUCAUCAGGUCCAUAAAUACCGCUGGAGCAUUGGUUAGACCGAAUGGCAUAACUACAAACUCAUAAUGACCGUAUCUUGUCCGAAAAGCUGUUUUAGGUACAUCAGUACCCUUUAUCUUGAGUUGGUGGUAGCCCGACCUCAAAUCAAUUUUAGAAAACACCUUUGCACCUUUCAAUUGGUCGAACAAAUCUUCUAUCCUUGGUAGAGGAUACUUGUUCUUGAUGGUAAGUCGAUUAAGCUCACGGUAGUCGAUACACAUACGCAUUGUCCCAUCUUUCUUCUUAACAAACAAGACAGGCGCUCCCCAAGGUGAUACACUUGGCCGUAUGAACCCUAUGUCCAAAAGCUCUUGUAGUUGUGUUUUCAAUUCCUCCAAUUCCUUUGGUGCCAUCCUAUAUGGUGCUUUUGAAACGGGUGCUGUUCCAGGCACUAAGUCGAUCGCGAACUCCACUUGCCUGUCUGGUGGUAUUCCAGGUAAAUUCUCGGGAAAAACAUCGGGGUAAUCACGUACCACUGGCACACUUUGGAGAGUAAGUUUUUCAUGUUCCUUGCCUACAAUGCUUACGAGAUAAGCCUCGCCAAAGCCUUUGUUCAAUAUCUUUAUCGCUUUCAUCGCAGAUAUCACCAUAGGCAUUCUUCCUAACUUUGAUCCUUGGAACGAAAAUUCUUUCUUUCCUGGUACUUUGAAAGUAACUUCCCUUUCGUGACACUUAAUUGUCGCAAAGUUUCGACUUAGCCAGUCCAUUCCCAAAAUCACAUCGAAGUCGUGCAUCUCUAUGAGGUACAAAUCGGCUUCAAACUUUCUAUUUCUAAAGUUCAAGGGAAUUCUCCGAGCAAUCCUAUUCGUUUUAAUGCAUUCUCCAGAAGGAACACUUAUGUUCAAGGCUAAGUUUUCUACUUCACAAGGGAUAUGAUUCUUUUGACAAAACUUAGCAGAAAUGAACGAGUGCGAAGCUCCAGAAUCAAAUAGAACAACUGCUGGUGUUCCAGAUAUGAGUAACGUACCAGUCAUUGUGUCAUCGUCCUCUGCUUCUUCUUGAUCAGCUAAAGCGAAGAAUCGAGCAUUUCCUUUCUUUUCUGGCUCUUUGCCUCCUCUUUUGUCUGGCCCAACAUUUUUCUUCCCUUCUAGCGCAUUGUUCAUCUUUUUAGGACAAUUAUGUGUAGUGUGCCCCGGUUCGUGGCAAAAGAAACAAACUCCUUUACCCCACAUGCACUCUCCAUAGUGAUAUUUUCCACAUUUCUGGCAUUGUGGUCUUGUCCCCGUUGUUCCUGGAUUAACGCCUCCACCAAACUUCGGCCUCUUAUCUUGGAAGUUUCCUCCGCCUUGAUUAUAGUUCUCCCACUUCCUUUUCAUAGGUUGAUUCGCUGGCUUUUGUGCAGGGAUGUUUGACCCAAGAGCAGUUGCCACCUCUUCGGCUCGCUUAACCAAAUCGCUAAAAUCUUCAAUUACAUGUGCAGCCAUAAUUCCCUUGAUGUCAUUUCUCAGUCCCUUUCUAAACCUAGCUAUCAUUUUGUCUUCUGUGUCAACUAGGUGUGGUGCAAAACGAGCCAACUCAUUAAAUUUUCUCUCGUACUCCUCUAUAGUCAUAUUUCCUUGUUUCAACUCAAAGAACUCGGUUUCCUUCUUUUCUCUGAAUGACAGGGGAAAGUAUUUAUCCAUUACUACUCCCUUGAAGAUUUUCCAAUUGAGAACAUUGCGAUCCUCUUCUCCCAACAGACGAUAGAAAUGUUUCCACCAUUGUCGAGCGUCCUCUUUAAGUUGAAAAACAGCACAUGAAACUUUCUGUUCCUCGGUACAGUUGAUGUGAGUGAAAAUCCGUUCAAGCUCUUCCAACCACUCUUCAGCUGCUAGCGGUCCAUCACGUCCAUUGAACCGUGGCGGAUUAUUGUUCCGAAAUCGCUCUACCGCUUGAUCUAUCGUGUUAGAGGUCUGGUUUAGGUCACGUUGUGUGGCCUGAGUUUGGGUUUGGUGCUGGACAAAACCCUGUAAAGCACUCAGAAAUUGACCCAUGAAGUCUCCUCCAUUAGUUGGAUGAGGUUGUUCUGCUUCUGCUUCGGAAUUGGUAUUUGAGUUCUCGGCGUGGUGGGAAUGUGCACGCGUAUUCCUCAUGGUUCUAUAAUCAAAGGCACUAUGACAUAAAUGAAAGAUUAUAAAACAAGGUUAUUCCUAAUUCGAGGACUAUGUUCAACAUGAAAAUUUUAAACUCAUCAAAACUCAAUAUCAUGCACUGUAAAAUUCCGAAAUAAAAUUCAUGGCUGCAAUAAUUUUCAACAUAAUAACUUGCAUACUGAACUUGAACUUUCUGAUAAUAACUUCAACUAUUGCAGCAAAAUUCAACAUAAAUUUCGGAAUAUAAACAGUUUAUACUCAUCCCCUUGAAAACUUUUAAAAUAACUUUUACCUUGAAGUCGGAGCGCGUAGUGGUCGAAUGGCUUCGUCACAAAUGACUUGAAAAUAUUUUAAGAAAAACAUUUUAUUUUGCAGAGUCUACAGGAAAGUAGACCUGCUCUGAUACCAUGCUGUAACACCCUAAUCUAAUUAAAGUGUUAAAUAUGAAUUUAAAUAAUUUUUGACAGCGAAAAUAUCAUAAAAUAAAGAUUUGGAUUUAUUUUCAAAUAAAUAAAUUUUUAAAUAAAAUAUUUGAAAUAACUUAAAAAGAAGGCCAGCCAUGAUAGGAAGCUAAUAUGAUAACACUAAACUCGAUAAGUUACACCAAAAUCUCAAGAGUAGUUUGAGACUUCGAAAACUGUACAAAGCAAAAGGUUAGGUGUAACUACAACAUUAUAUUUUCCAAAAAUAUUUACUUGACGCGCUCAUUCGAUCCUCUACGCGUCUCCAACCUUAGUUACCUGAAAAUGUUAAAUAUGGGAUGAGCAUAUGAAAUAUACUCAGUGUGGGAACAUGCAAUAAUUGUCCACGUUAAUAAAAUGGUCAACACAUAAGCACUGCACUGUAAUACUGAUAACUGAAAUUCGCACGGUGGCAUACCAAGGACUUUAAAGUCCUGGACCCAUUGAGUGGGCCCCUGGCGAAUAGGUUGCAACCCUAACUGUAACAUGAAAUCGCAUUGUGGCAUACCAAGGACGGUGAAGUCCUGGACCCAUUGAGCGGGCCCCUAGCGAUAUAACUGAAUUUACAACACAUAUGGCAAACACAUAAUAUUAAAAUGGACAAAAAUUACCACGGCAUGUACUGAAUAAAUCCCACACCUGUAACUUGAACUUGAAAAUUACUGCUAGAAAUGUAAAGUUCACGUUCCUAGUCGCGCCGCACCUAGUCAGAUAAAUUCAAAUAGUAACAUAAGGGCCUAAUUGAACUUUACAAAAUACCUUAAUAUAACUAAACUUGAGAAAACUAAUUUAUAAAAGUCUUUUCAAUAAAAUUUGAACUGAAAAAAAAUGAUUAAUUAAAUAAAUUAUAAUUGCUACUUAGAAGAGUAAUUAAAAUAAAAACCCAAUUGAUUAUUAUAAUUAAGGCCCAACCACUUAAUAAACUGAGCCCAAUUAAUUAAAACUAACCUAAGCCCAAGCCCCAAGCCCACUAUCAACCUCUAAUUUAAACUCACACCCAACUCCACUCCACACAUUCACACGCAGCUCACUCCCUCUCUCCCUUCCUCCCUCGGCCUUCUUCCUCUCGGCCUCUUGCCGCCGCACCUCCGGACGGCAGCGCCGUCAGCGCAGACCGGCGGCUCCGCCGCCUCUCCCUCUUCUUCCUAUCUCCCUCUUCCCUCACUCUCACUCCCUCUGUCCCUCUCCUCACCGCGUCUCCCCCUUCUCCGGCGACCCUCGCCGUCUGCCAGCACCUCCUCCUGGCCGUCAGCAGCGGCACCCUUGUCGCCGCCGUGUCGACAGCACAAGCCGGUCAGGCCGCCUUCUCCCUCUUCCUGAAAAGAGACGCACAGCCGAGACCAUAGCGCCGCCGCCCUGCUCCUUCCGCCACCACCCCCUGCUUCCUUCCGCCGGCCGCCAUGGCGCGCAGCGCCGGCGGUACUGCUGCUCAACCACCCCUCCCCCUGUUCUAAGCCACAACCCCCUUUCCAGUUCAUUCUUUCUAUUUUCCUUUUCUUCUUGUAAAGCAGUGAAUAUGCAUGUUUGAAUUAGAAAAAAAAUAAGAACUUUUGUGGGUGUUUGGUUUUGUGCAGAGAUGAACAACAGUAAAUGAAAUAACUUUGUAAAAUCAAUUAAAAUUUACCAGCUUGGAUUCUGUAAUGAGAGAUGGAAAUGGGUUUGUAUGCUGUAGGCGAAACAGACGAGGAAAAGGCGAAUUGGGGGACGAUGAUUUGAGGUUAAAUAGAGCUGCAAGAUUAAGUUUUUACCACAAAAAUGAAACGUGAGCUGCUUGUUCACGUAAGAAAAUUUGUGGAUGAUAAAGGAACCAAAAUUGUGGUUGAGAAAACUGGACGUGCUCCCCAAG